rnacentral:pre_miRNA from 1 species
CAACUACUCCCUCUAUCCCAAAUUUCUUUUCUUAGAUUUGUCUAGAUACAGAUGUAUCUAAUACUAAAAUGUGACUUGAUACAUCCGUAUCUAGACAAAUCUAAGACAAGAAUUUUGGGACGGAGGGAGUACUUU